rnacentral:tRNA from 1 species
GCAUCGGUGGCUUAGUGGUAGAAUGCUCGCCUGCCACGCGGGCGGCCCGGGUUCGAUUCCCGGUCGAUGCA